rnacentral:rRNA from 1 species
CCAGACUCCUACGGGAGGCAGCAGUGGGGAAUAUUGCACAAUGGAGGAAACCCUGAUGCAGCAACGCCGCGUGAAGGAAGACGGUUUUCGGAUUGUAAACUUCUGUUCUUAGUGAAGAAAAAUGACGGUAGCUAAGGAGCAAGCCACGGCUAACUACGUGCCAGCAGCCGCGGUAAUACGUAGGUGGCAAGCGUUGUCCGGAAUUACUGGGUGUAAAGGGAGCGCAGGCGGGAAGCCAAGUCAGCUGUGAAAACUACGGGCUUAACCUGUAGACUGCAGUUGAAACUGGUUUUCUUGAGUGAAGUAGAGGUUGGCGGAAUUCCGAGUGUAGCGGUGAAAUGCGUAGAUAUUCGGGGGAACACCGGUGGCGAAGGCAGCGUGCCGGGCCGCCACUGACGCUGAGGCACGAAAGCGCGGGGAUCGAACAGGAUUAGAUACCCCUGUU